UAAAAUUUUCAUGCAGUGGUGUAGAGGUUGGGUGAGAACGGGACGUUUUCCAUCAUUAUCAAAAAGGUAAAAUACCCACAAGGCUUGAGUUGAGAGGUAAGGGUGAGAAAAAGUCGUAUAAAGCGAGAGAGAAAAGGCCACAGUGAUCAGUCGAGUUAGCGUCUCCGACACGGGAACAACUGCAGCACUAUUGGUCUCCAACUGCCUUCUUCAUCGCAUUAUCAGUUUGCAAUCAUGGUUAACUAUGGCGCCGUGCUCCUUUUGGGUGUUGGAUCGCUGAUGGCUGGAGCGACCACUGGUGUACCGAUGUCUCCUGCGCACGGUUGAUAAGAAGCUUCGGCAGCAAAAGAAUACUACACCGACUUACUGCUGCCGACUUACUAUAAAACAACAUUAACUCUUCCUAUGCCGAAGACCCCAAGUAUUACAACACCAAGUCUCCUGAGUAUUAAACUUCAACCUACGAUGUUCUAUCUUAGGAAACAUAGUUAUCUGUGGGUUAUGCUGCUGUUGGGUGUUGAUGGCUGAGGCGACCACGGGAGUACCGAUGUCUUCUGGGUAUGGCGGAUACGAAAUCGCAACGCCGGGGUUUUACUAAACAACAACAUACGCAACAACUGGAUACUACACCACCAAGACCCCUGAUAUAAUUCUG